UACAGAGGUCCCGAGCGUUGUUCGGAUUUAUUGGGCGUAAAGGGUGCGUAGGUGACAAAGUAAGUUGGAUGUGAAAUCCUGGGGCUCAACCUCAGAAUUGCAUUCAAUACUGCUUAGCUAGAGAGCUGUAGAGGAGACUGGAAUUUACGGUGUAGCAGUGAAAUGCGUAGAUAUCGUAAGGAACGCCAGUGGCGAAAGCGAGUCUCUGGGCAGCAUCUGACACUGAGGCACGAAGGCCAGGGGAGCAAACGGG
rnacentral:rRNA from 1 species